GACGAACGCUGGCGGCGCGCUUAACACAUGCAAGUCGAACGGAAAGGCCUGCUUUCCCUUGUGGAUUGCGGGUACUCGAGUGGCGAACGGGUGAGUAACACGUGAGUGAUCUGCCCCCAACUUGGGUAUAAGCCUGGGAAACUGGGUCUAAUUCCCGAUAGGACUGCAGGGUGGUGCCUGUGGUGGAAAACGAUUUUCUAGUGGUUGGGGAUGAGCUCGCGGCCUAUCAGCUUGUUGGUGGGGUAAUGGCCUACCAAGGCGGCGACGGGUAGCCGGCCUGAGAGGGUGGACGGCCACAUUGGGACUGAGAUACGGCCCAGACUCCUACGGGAGGCAGCAGUGGGGAAUUUUGCACAAUGGGCGGAAGCCUGAUGCAGCGACGCCGCGUGGGGGAUGACGGCCUUCGGGUUGUAAACUCCUUUCGACCGCGAGGAAGCCACCUGGUUGGAAGGGUGGUGACGGUAGUGGUAGAAGAAGCACCGGCUAACUACGUG
rnacentral:rRNA from 1 species